rfam:Ciona savignyi cont_31775, whole genome shotgun sequence.
GCCCGGUUAGCUCAGCCGGUAGAGCGUUGGAAUUUUAAUCCAAAGACCAAGGUUUCAAGUCCCUUAUCGGGCU